rnacentral:rRNA from 1 species
ACAACGCUGGCGGCAGGCUACACUGCAGGUUAAGCGCGCCUUCGGGCGAGCGGCGGACGGGUUGGUAACGCGUGGGAACGUGCCCAGAUCUACGGAAUAGCCACUGGAAACGGUGAGUAAUACCGUAUACGCCCUUAGGGGGAAAGAUUUAUCGGAUUUGGAUCGGCCCGCGUUAGAUUAGGUAGUUGGUGGGGUAACGGCCUACCAAGCCUACGAUCUAUAGCUGGUUUUAGAGGAUGAUCAGCAACACUGGGACUGAGACACGGCCCACGACUCCUACGGGAGUGCGGCAGUGGGGAAUCUUGGACAAUGGGUGGCAACCCUGAUCCAGCCAUGCCGCGUGAGUGAAGAAGGCCCUAGGGUCGUAAAACUCUUUCGCCUGUGAUGAUAAUGACAGUAGCAGGUAAAGAAACCCCGGCUAACUCCGUGCCAGCAGACCGCAGGUAAUACGGAGGGGGUUAGCGUUGUUCGGAAUUACUGGGCGUAAAGCGCACGUAGAGCGGAUUAGAAACGUUAGACGGUGAAAUCCCGGGGCUCAAACCCCGGAACUGCCUUUAAAACUACUACUACUAGAGUUCGAGA